GGGGAAGGCCUGGGGUCGGCGAGUGAGCGCCCGGGAUCUGCCCGCCCCACCCCCACUCCACACACCUGCCAUAAACCCCAGAAACGCACCGUCUGAUCUCACAGCAGCCCUGGAGGUGAGGAAAAGCGAGGGCGGGGGGCUGGUAACUCGCCAGCCGCACAGUUGUAAGCGGCAGGGCCGGGCAUCCCGGCUCACUCGCUCGGCUUGGUACAAAAGAGCAUCACAGCCAGUCGCCCCCAAUGGUGUUGCUGUGACGCUCAUGGAUCGCGUACGUCUCACCCCCCCGCGGACCACAGGCUCCCUCACAGCCCUGCUUUACAGAGGAGGAAACGGAGGCCCAGGGGUGUCCGCAGGUGGCGGGAAGCCUCCGAGGGCAGGUGGGACGGCAGCUGCCUUUCUUGGAGGAGGGGGAGAGUGGCCGUGUGGGGGCUGGGGCGCCGGGGGCAGGGGGCAGGACAGCGGGCUGGACGCUCAGCUUCAGCUGGGUCGAUAUGACAGACGGAGCGCGCCUCCUGGCUCCAGACAUCGGGAUGGCCCCGCUGGGCCGUGUCCCCUCCAGGCUCAGCCGCAAGCUGACGAGGCUUCCGGGCCGGCAGCAUCUUCCCCUUUCGACACCGUGGGCCACGCGGAGGAGGAGGCCGCCAGAGAGGGGACAGCAUGGAGGUAGGAAAAGCGACACCAGGAGACGCGCUGGGCCCCCUGUUCCACAAGAUGCUGGGUGGCAUUCAGGAAGAAACCAGAAACGCAAGUUCCUCAAAGUUAAAAAGAGUCAGCCCUGCAGGCCUUAUCAGCACUUCUUACCAGAAAAUGAGAAAUGCUGAGUUCCUCAAAGUUAAAAAGGAUCAGCCCCGCAGGCCUCGUCAGCACUUCUCAAGGCAGAGGGCGUCGGGCCUUCCCGGGAGAGCCUGACCCCAAAGCAGCCCUGAGCGCUCACCUUUGUGCCCCAGCACAAGCCUCUGAGGGGCACGGCCCUUAGAGCAGAUGCUGGCGAGGCUCCCCAGACACCCCGGCCACCAGGCCCGACGUUCACCCAGAGGGACUUGUCUUUCCAGCUGAAACACGAGUGCGCACACGGGCGAGUUAAGGGCAGGUGUUCCUGGCAGGACCGGGGAGACGUGGGGGCCGGUCUUCCCCCAUUCGAGGUGGAAGCAGAGGCCUGUGGGGGUGUACCUGUGUGAGGUCCCUGCACCCCGUGGGGGGACCAUCUCAGUUUCAGGAAUUUGCUGCCAAUCCUCUCAGAACUUCACCCUCUGGUCAGGAUUAUCCCGAGCGAGGGCCCAGCGCGAGUCCGGUGGAGGGCUGAGGCCGGCUUCCAGGCCUCUUGGGCGCCUGCCCUGAUCUGAAGGUGGGAGGGUAUAACUUAGAAAGAGGCGUGUUUCAGCUUCAGGAGCAAAGGGACGGCCACAAACUCUCGCUGUUUUUUGAUGGAGGUCACCGAGCAUCCCCUGUGCACCUGUUGUCUUAUAACUUGCUCCCAGCGAUUCCAGGAGGUUUUGAGGGCCCUGAUUGACAGGGGCCAGCGCCCUGAGGGAGAGGAGGGAACUGCUUUAGCAGGAGGCAGGGCCUGUCUCCAGAGCCCCUCUUCUGAAGUCCAUUGCUCUUUGGCGCGUCUCUGCCUGGUCUGGACCCCUGCAGUGUGGGAGCCGGGAGCUUGUCAGGAAUGCGUCUGCGGUCAGCUGGGUUCACAGCUGUCAGGAGCCUCUGUGGCCACAGCACAAUCUAGAUGCCCCUACCUGCUCAGCCCCGAGGUACCCUCUGCGCCCUCACUGCCCCCCAGGGCGCUGUUCUAGAACAGUGCUGCCCAGCGAGCAGAACCUUCUACGACAGUGACUGUGGCCGAAGCCUUCUCUGGGGCACCAGCCAGGGGGCUUUCGAAUCCUUGGAAUUUGGCUCUGCGACAGGAACAGAUGUUUCCUUUUACUUAAUUUGAAUGAAAACAUAAAAACCAACACUUGCCUCACUUAUCGGGAAACUUGAAAGUUUGCAACAACUUGGGUGCGUGGAUCUAUGUUUUCCACUUUAAAUUUCAUGAAAUCCACACACAGGCCAAGGUACUUCCGAGGAAAAUGCAGCAUCCAAAUUGCAAUACGCUGGGAGCAACCCCCCCCCCCCGGAUUUAACUGCAAUACACUGCGAGCGCAAAAUAGCCCCUGGAGUUUGAAAACUUGCUAUGGCAGAGAAUGGAAGCUGUCACAGCCUGCUGGAAUCACGUCUGGGUGCUCCCGGCCCCGCCCCCACAGGGUGGAGCAGAGGAAGAUUUCGGGGAAGGAAGACCCACCUGAGGAUCUGGCGACCUCAGGGGCGGGACUUCUGGGGGGCAGCGAAGCCUCAGUUUUGAACACCCCCCUGUGGGAUAGUCCCCUGCAGGGAGGGUAUCCUAGGUACCCACGGUCUCAGAGCUGGGAUUCUGCACAUGGGGAUUUGAAAGCCAUGCUUUCCUCCAGAAGCGGGAAGAGAGGGAGACGCUCCCCGUGAGGCCACCGAGCAGAGGUGAAGACCUGGUGCACACUCUGUGCCAUGGACCUUGGGUAGCGAGGACGCGCAGGCAAGACGCGCCCAGGAGCACCCGCUGCAGCAGCUGCUUCCAUUCGAAGUGGCAUCGUGAUGACGGGGACAGCUGUGCUAGGAAGCGGACCUGUCCAGGGUGUGCUUGAAUGGCCAGGGGCCAUUUCAAGUGCUUUAUGUUGUCAUCAGGCUCACUCUGCCGUCGAGGAACUGAGGCGGGGCGGGGGGAGGGCAUCACCUGCUCAGGAUAUACCUGUAGCAGGUGCAUCCAUGAGGAUGCAGGUUCGAUCCCUGGCCUCGCUCACUGGGUUAAGGAUCCAGCAUUGCCGUGAGCUGUGGUGUAGGUCGCAGACGCGGCGCGGAUCCCGCGUUGCUGUGGCUGUGGUGUAGACCGGUAGCUGUAGCUCUGAUUCAACCCCUAUCCUGGGAACCUCCAUAUGCUGUGGGUGUGGCCCUAAAAGACAAAAAG
rnacentral:lncRNA from 1 species